GACGAAGGAUGCAAGCGUUAUCCGGAUUCAUUGGGUUUAAAGGGUCCGCAGGCGGUCUUAUAAGUCAGUGGUGAAAUCUCUCAGCUUAACUGAGAAACUGCCAUUGAUACUGUAGGACUUGAAUUUGGUCGAAGUGGGCGGAAUAUGACAUGUAGCGGUGAAAUGCAUAGAUAUGUCACAGAACACCGAUAGCGAAGGCAGCUCACUAGGCCAACAUUGACGCUCAUGGACGAAAGCGUGGGGAGCAAACAGG
rnacentral:rRNA from 1 species